rnacentral:rRNA from 1 species
UACGUAGGGUGCGAGCGUUGUCCGGAAUUAUUGGGCGUAAAGAGCUCGUAGGCGGUUUGUCGCGUCGGCCGUGAAAACCUGGGGCUUAACUCUGGGCUUGCGGUCGAUACGGGCAGACUUGAGUUCGGUAGGGGAGACUGGAAUUCCUGGUGUAGCAGUGAAAUGCGUAGAUAUCAGGAGGAAUACCGAUGGCGAAGGCAGGUCUCUGGGCUAGAACUGACGCUCAUGCACGAAAGCGUGGGGAGCAAACGGG